rnacentral:misc_RNA from 1 species
AAGUCGUAACAAGGUUUCCGUAGGUGAACCUGCGGAAGGAUCAUUAUUGAAUUUAAUGUAGAGUUGGUUGUAGCUGGCCUAAUUAAUAAUUUGGGCAUGUGCACACCUCCUCUUUCAUCCACACACACCUGUGCACCUGUGAGACAGAGUGGGAAUUUUAAUUUAAUUUAAUUGGACCCUCUGUCUACUUAAUUCACACAAACUCUAUUUAUUAUAAAAUGAAUGUAAUUGAUGUAACGCAUCUAAUACUAAGUUUCAACAACGGAUCUCUUGGCUCUC